CUCAGAAUACGUUCAUCUCCAGACAGUCUGGUCUCAGUUACUUCUUGGGUAAAUUUGGAGUAAUUCCAUUUGCUUUAAUAGGGAUGCUCUGGAUUUGCACUGGUGUGACUGAGGUUAGGCUCUGACCUUCGCUCUUCAGAUGGGGUCCGAAGUGAACUAAACCGAUGGAUUUUUUUUGAGCAGUAAAUAGCUCCAGGGAAGCCUUUUAUGGGCUCUUCUUUCUCAGUAAUAAAAGUGUGAAAACUGUAAGGAUGUCCCCCGGUAUCAAGACUCCUCAACAAGCGACAUGUUUCUGUAGAAUCAGAAAAAUGUAUAGCUGGAUGGGCCCUCAAGAAGUCAUCAAUGCCCAGCCUCCCGCACUGUGGCAGAGAUCACUGUAGAAUGGACCCGCCAGAUGAUCGAGUCUCACAUGGGCAGAUGUAAACCUUCACCUAGGAUAACACGAGGGACAUGUACAUAGAUGGUGAGAUGGUACCUGGAACCCAUCCCAGAAAAACAGGAGGCUGAGCCAACCCUGUGAAAAGCUGGUGUUUUCCAAGCUUUUUCUGAAACCUGGCGGGCGGUGCCUGAGUUUGAAUAUUUAAGAGUUCCCACAACUUCCAUUGAACAACAACCAAAAAAAUAAAUAAAAGCCGAGCAGCAGGGUUCCCAGAUAAGCUGUUGGGAGGACAGUGGGCAGCUGGACACUGUGCUAUGCUGGGAGCUGAGAACCACUACAGGGCAUUGUGUUAUUCCAGACCGGUCGUUUCUAGAAGCCAGGCCUUUUCUUACUGAUGGGUGCAAUUGAUACUGUGUGCAGAGAGUACCGACAAGGCUUCUGCAGCCAUUCGUGGGGCAUGAGUGGUGCAUAGAGCUUGGGCCGGUCCUUUGCACAGAAGUGGAUUUUGUUCUGUAUGCACUAGGCC